ensembl:lncRNA
UAACAAUCUUGUCCUUAAGAGAGCACUGGGAUUCUGAGCUGUGGAAUUUUCCACUCAUUUAUUCUUUCAUUUUCCAUCUUCCUUUGCCUUCAAGUGUCAAUUGGCUCCUCUCAGUCACAGCUGUACAAAUCACAGGACCCCUUUUUUUUUAAUUGGCAGAAGACAUAUACAUUAUUCAUCUAUUCAUUUCCAUCUAAUGGAAAUCCAAAAAAGACAAUUGUAUUUUCCAACAAAACAUUUAAAGCUGCUUUUUCCCCCAUGAGAAACGGGACAGAAGACUCCAUCCAUGGUCUAUAAAAGCCAACUGGUAAGGAAGUACUCUCUCUGCAAUAGCCAUGAGGACUGUGAGGUCUGCCCACAGGCAUGUGAGUGAACUUGGAAGCAGAUUCGCCCCCAACCCAGCCUUGAGCUGCCUGGAGAACUGGCCACCACCCCAGUUGCAGCCUUGAGACAGAAGAACACAGCAAAACCACUCCUAGAUUCCUGACCACAGAUACCAUGAGAUAAUAAAUGUCUGCUGUUUUAAGCCACUAAUUUUAGGGAUACUUUGUUAUACAGCAAUAGAUAACUCAUGCAAUUGGAGAAAAUCGUAUGAAUGCAUUUCAUUAAAUAAAAGAAGAAAAAAAACUCCCAUCUGCACAUUAAAAAAAAAAAAAUAGAAACAGAAUUCGCUAGCCUAUUUUUUUAAUCCCAGAUAAAAUUAUCAAUGGAUUUGAACCAACUGCUAAAAAUACAGAAAUGCAACACCUUCUAAAGAGUUUUCAAUAAUGAAUGAAUGAUUGACACCAGAGAAAAGAUGAAGUUAUUAAUUAAACUUCAAGAAAAAUCUGAAUAUAGUGCUCAGAGUAAAUAGAGUCAUGAUUUGGUCAAUCCUGCUAACAAACACUCCUGUUGAAAUUCUCUUUGCAUAGUAUCUUGUUUUGAUUAAAACUAGAAAUUAAAAUAAACUGAACUUAAAACCAGUCCUUCAAAUUACCCUAUCACAAGGUAUCACACAAAAGUUUUCAAAAAUAUAUAACAUUUUCAAACACAUUGCUCAUCCUAAUAUUUAAUAAUAUUUUUGUGGGAGUAAAAAUUUUAACUGUUGUCUAUGCA